UACGUAGGGUGCGAGCGUUGUCCGGAAUUAUUGGGCGUAAAGGGCUCGUAGGCGGUUUGUCGCGUCGGGAGUGAAAACACACAGCUUAACUGUGUGCUUGCUUCCGAUACGGGCAGACUAGAGGUAUGCAGGGGAGAACGGAAUUCCUGGUGUAGCGGUGAAAUGCGCAGAUAUCAGGAGGAACACCGGUGGCGAAGGCGGCAUCCUGGACCGGCAUUGACGCUGAGGAGCGAAAGCUAGGGGAGCAAACGGG
rnacentral:rRNA from 1 species